AACGAACGCUGGCGGCGUGCCUAACACAUGCAAGUCGUGCGAGAAACCGGGGGCAACUCCGGGAGUACAGCGGCGCACGGGUGAGUAACACGUAGGCAACCUACCUUCGAGUCCGGGAUAACCUUCCGAAAGGAGGGCUAAUACCGGUUGAGACCACGGUGCUUCGGCUCUGUGAUCAAAGAUGGCCUCUGCUUGCAAGCUAUCGCUCGAUGAUGGGCCUGCGCACCAUUAGCUAGUUGGCGGGGUAACGGCCCACCAAGGCGAAGAUGGUUAGCUGGUCUGAGAGGAUGACCAGCCACACUGGGACUGAGACACGGCCCAGACUCCUACGGGAGGCAGCAGUGGGGAAUAUUGGACAAUGGGGAAACCCUGAUCCAGCGACGCCGCGUGGU
rnacentral:rRNA from 1 species